GAAGAAAGAGGGGGGAGUGCUUAAAAAAAAAAAGAAAAACGGAAAAAAAAUGAAUUUGUGAGGAGCUAGAAUAGAAAAAAGAAGACUCACACGUGAGUAACCUGCCAUUGACUUUGGGAUAACUUCAGGAAACUGGGGCUAAUACCGGAUAGGAGCUCCUGCUGCAUGGUGGGGGUUGGAAAGUUUCGGCGGUUGGGGAUGGACUCGCGGCUUAUCAGCUUGUUGGUGGGGUAGUGGCUUACCAAGGCUUUGACGGGUAGCCGGCCUGAGAGGGUGACCGGCCACAUUGGGACUGAGAUACGGCCCAGACUCCUACGGGAGGCAGCAGUGGGGAAUAUUGCACAAUGGGCGGAAGCCUGAUGCAGCAACGCCGCGUGCGGGAUGACGGCCUUCGGGUUGUAAACCGCUUUCGCCUGUGACGAAGCGUGAGUGACGGUAAUGGGUAAAGAAGCACCGGCUAACUACGUG
rnacentral:rRNA from 1 species